rnacentral:rRNA from 1 species
GAUGAACGCUGGCGGCGUGCCUAAUACAUGCAAGUCGAGCGAACAGAUGAGGAGCUUGCUCCUCUGACGUUAGCGGCGGACGGGUGAGUAACACGUGGAUAACCUACCUAUAAGACUGGGAUAACUUCGGGAAACCGGAGCUAAUACCGGAUAAUAUAUUGAACCGCAUGGUUCAAUAGUGAAAGACGGUUUUGCUGUCACUUAUAGAUGGAUCCGCGCCGCAUUAGCUAGUUGGUAAGGUAACGGCUUACCAAGGCAACGAUGCGUAGCCGACCUGAGAAGGUGAUCGGCCACACUGGAACUGAGACACGGUCCAGACUCCUACGGGAGGCAGCAGUAGGGAAUCUUCCGCAAUGGGCGAAAGCUUGACGGAGCAACGCCGCGUGAGUGAUGAAGGUCUUCGGAUCGUAAAACUCUGUUAUUAGGGAAGAACAAAUGUGUAAGUAACUAUGCACGUCUUGACGGUACCUAAUCAGAAAGCCACGGCUAACUACGUG